UACGUAGGUGGCAAGCGUUGUCCGGAUUUACUGGGCGUAAAGGGUGCGUAGGCGGCGCGGUAAGUCGGGUGUGAAAUCUUGGAGCUUAACUCCGAAACUGCAUUCGAUACUGCCGUGCUUGAGGACUGGAGAGGAGACUGGAAUUUACGGUGUAGCGGUGAAAUGCGUAGAUAUCGUAAGGAAGACCAGUGGCGAAGGCGGGUCUCUGGACAGUUCCUGACGCUGAGGCACGAAGGCCAGGGGAGCAAACGGG
rnacentral:rRNA from 1 species